UACAGAGGGUGCAAGCGUUGUUCGGAAUUACUGGGCGUAAAGGGCGCGUAGGCGGCUUACCAAGUCAGGUGUGAAAUCCCGGAGCUUAACUCCGGACGUGCACUUGAAACUGGUAGGCUAGAGUGCAGUAGAGGUUGGCGGAAUACCCAGUGUAGAGGUGAAAUUCGUAGAUAUUGGGUAGAACACCAGUGGCGAAAGCGGCCAACUGGGCUGCAACUGACGCUGAGGCGCGAAGGCGUGGGGAGCAAACAGG
rnacentral:rRNA from 1 species